rnacentral:rRNA from 1 species
AUUGAACGCUAGCGGGAUGCUUUACACAUGCAAGUCGAACGAGCGGCGGACGGGUGAGUAAUAUAUCGGAACGUGCCCGGUAGCGGGGGAUAACUACUCGAAACAGUGGCUAAUACCGCAUAACAUUCGAGUGGCCCAUAGGGGAUUAGCUAGUUGGUGGGGUAAAGGCUUACCAAGGCGACGACCCGUAGCUGGUUUGAGAGGACGACCAGCCACACUGGGACUGAGACACGGCCCAGACUCCUACGGGAGGCAGCAGUGGGGAAUCUUGGACAAUGGGGGAAACCCUGAUCCAGCCAUCCCGCGUGUAUGAGAAGGCCUUCGGGUUGUAAAGUACUUUUGGCGGAGAAGCGGUAUCUGCAGAAUAAGCACCGGCUAACUACGUGCCAGCAGCCGCGGUAAUUC